ACUUCAAACACCACCACCUAAAUAAAGCUCAGUUCCCACUGCACCAACAAGCCACAGCCGAGAGUUCUGUGCAACAAAUGCGUUUCUGAAGUUCCGGAAGCCUGGACAUAGCAGUAAUUCCAGGACAAGACAGUUGGACAGCCCGCGGGGGUGGGGGUCAGGAGGAAUGGCUCCCCAGACUCCUGAACAGAGGAUGGUGACCCAAUCAGGGAACACGUCUCAACCCAACAUUGAAAGGACAAAGUUGCGUCUGCAGGCUUCCUCUUAAUUCUAUGGAUCAUGCAAUAGUCUUUCAAGAAAUUAUCUUCUGCUUAGCUAGUCACUUCCUGUUGCUAGAACCAUGAAGAGGCCUGGUGAAAGAUGUUCAGUAUACUACCUGCAUCAGCUGCUACUGCUAUGUGACAAGCAAAUUUUCCAGAAACACUGACAUGGAAACAGGAUCUUUCUUCUCCUACUGUUUGUUCCUCGACUACAGUUAUAAUCCUCUAUUUGUGACAUCAUAAUUAGUUGCCACUGGAGAAGACGAUCGUGUCACAAAAGGAUUAGGACCUAAGCAAUCUCCACUGAUGGAGGCAAGAUGGCUGCCAUGGGCACCAGUCCCACAAUCUAUCUCUUAGUAGACCACUGAGGAAAGAGGAUGCCUCUCUCUCAUUCUUCCAGAAAAGGCCCCAGUGUAGCUCUGAUGGCUCUGAUUGACCUUUAGAACUGGUUCUACUUAAUCAGUUCUACUUAAACUACAUGGAUUAAGAAAAAUUAGGAUGUUAUA
rnacentral:lncRNA from 1 species